UUCAUUCUCUGUACAUGAGAGUUCUUCACUAGCCAACACUCCGCCCCAUACAACAUGGCAGGUCUAACCACAACUCUAUAAAAUUUCCCCUUGAGUUUCUGUGGAACUAUCUUGUCACACAGGACUCUUAAUGCAAGCCUCCACUUUGACCACUCCGCUCCUAUACGAUGAGUCACAUCCCCGUCAAUCUCUCCGUCCCCUGAAUCACCGACCCAAGAUAUCUGACAC
rnacentral:lncRNA from 1 species